UUUAAGGAGAAGAGCGGUUUUAGGAAGGGAGGAGGUGCUGUGCGGGGACGGAUGGUUCUUGCUGAGACUUUCGUGGGAAGAUGGGAGGUUCUGUAGCAGACAGAGAGAGAGCAUGAGCAGCAGAGGGAAUGGCAGAGGAAGAGGGAGAAGCAGAGUCCCUGCUGAGCAGGGAGCCUGAUGCAGGAUUCCAUCCCAGGACCCUGGAGUGGUGACCUGAGCCAAAGGCAUUCGUUUAACUGCCUGAGCCACCCAGAAGCAUGUGGUCCCGUAAGGCUGAAUGCUCGUGCUCCUGCAGGAUCCCCCGUUUAUCCUUCAGGAAGAAGAGGAAAAGAAGUCAGGCUGCUGAAAGACUCCAAAAAUCAAGGUAGUGGAGGAAUAUUCCACUAACACAGAAGUGUGACAACUCUGCUUACUUGUCUAAAGUUUAGGAUUGGCCCCCCGUCCAGAGAAGAACAAAUCUCAUCCUCAGCUUUGGUACUGAGGAGAGUUCUAGAGGACAGCCCAACUGGGAGUUUAGAACUAACUGUCAAGAUCUCUCUAGAGUUGGAAAGCAGUUCUGUAAAUUGUGCGCUAAAAAGGUAAACCUAUCCUUUUUGCAGCCAAGAUAAUCACAGGUUUGAUAUGUGAAAAGGUAUGGACUCUUCACUGAUUUCUUUAAAAGGCUCUCACAAAUACAUUUUUUUCAUAUAGGUUUUUAAAAUAAAUGUACGCUUAUGUCAAGCAAUACACCAAGAUAUAGAAUGAGAAACAAAAGUCUCCUUCUCCCCAACACCACCCCCAAUUCCCUAGUCUCUCAUUCACCAGAGUCAGCGAUGAUAUGUAUACACUUUUAACUCAAUGAGAUCAUAAGCAUAUUCAGUUUUUAAAAAUACAUACCUUAUUCUUUUUAUCAGAUGCAUUAUAUUCCAAAAUAUAAAUAUAUAGAAUUAUAUAGUCAGCACUUCAGUGGUGGGCUUACAGGUUUUUAGUUUUUGGUGUUUUUUUUUUGCUAUGAAAAUUUCUCUGAGUGAGGGUAUUUGUAUAUGUGUAAUCAUUGUGUACUUAGAGUAUCUGUGAAAAUUCCUAGCGAUAGAAUUAUAAAGUCAAUGUGUGGAUCACUUUUUUUUUUUUAAAUAAAGACAUCCUUAUUUACUUUUUUUUUUUUAAGUAAUCUGUAAGCCCAACAUGGGGCUUGAACUCAUGACCCUGACAUCAAGAGUCAUAUGCUCCACUGACUGAGCCAGCCACGCACCCCUCACUUUUCAUAGAUAUGUAAUCAAACUGCCCUCAAAAAGAGUUGGAUAUUAUAAAUUGUAUUAAUCUUUGUCAAUUUGAUGGUGAAAGUUGUAUUUCUUGUUAUAAUAUAUACUUAUUUAGGAGUGAGAUGGGGUGUCUUUUUUUACACCUAUUACUCAGUUGAAUUUUUUCUGGGACUACUCAUAUAUUCCUUUGCCUAUUUUUCUAUUAAGUUAAAUAAGCUAUUUACAUGUAAGAAUGUUUGUAUAUAAGGAAAAUGCCCUUUUUGUCUUUUGUCAGAUGUUGGAGAUAUUUACCUCUAGUUUGUGGUUUGCCAUUUGACUUUAUUUAUGGUAUUUUUCAGAAAUCACAUUAAAGUUUCAAGUAUUUGUAGUUAAGCAUCAAAAUUAUAGUUCUGGUUUUGUGUCAGUCAUCUAAGAAAGACCUUUAUUUUAAGAAUAAAAAAAAUUUCUCACCUUUACUUCUAGUAUUUUUAAGACUUAAAAAAAAACCUUUUUAUUUGGAGUAAUUUUAGAUGCACACAAAGUAUAAAAUAAUACAGUGCAUUAUAUCUCUUAAUGUCUGAAAUGCUGACCCAUCUGGAAUGUAUUAAAGGGAGGUAGGAAUCAAACUUUCUUUUCUUUUUCAUUUAUUUUAUACAACUUACUGAAAAAUAUUUGUAAUGGUUUUUAAGGCAAUAAAAUACACUUUAAAACAUGAUUUCAAAUCACUUCUGUUUCAAAAUACUUGGUGAUAGACCAAGAGUACCAGAAAACCAAGAUUUAUUAUCAUCAGAAGAAUGACUCCAGAAAGUCUCAAAAUCUGGUUGAGACUGUGGAGUCAGAAUUAGAAAAA